UGCUGGGACCUGCACUUUCCAUAAAGUUUUCCACGCUCCUGUCUUCUGUACUUGAAGAUCCCGAUCGGCCUUCUAGCCAUGCUUCUCUUCGCGACCUAGUGCUAAGUGCUAACAAGCAUCCGGUCUGUACUUGGAGUCAUAGCUGCCCUGCGACCCACUCGCACGGGCCUCCCCAGCGCACUCCGGCCCUGGCCCCGUCGUCCCCUCACUCUCCUCUCCCCCGCCGGCGCAGCAGCGAGCAGAUCCUCCGAUAGCCCUCGCCGCACUCUCCUCCUCGCCCCCCUCCCCAUAUCUGUCGGCGACGAGUGAGCUCUCGUACGCCCCGCUCCGGGGAGCGUCGCCGCCGUCCUUCCUCGCGACGGCGACGCGUGCAGCGGCGGAGCGGGAGGAGGCGCCCAAUGCUCUCGUACUGGUCUGAUGGAAUACCGUCGGCAGCCAAUCACCAUGACGAAAAGAAGCCGUGGGACCGUCCUUGACGACCUCCCCGAGUGGAUUGUCAUCGAAGAGAUCCUCAUCCGGUUGCCACCAAAGGACGUUCUUCGCUGCCGCGCUGUCCGCAAGUUGUGGUGCAGUGCCACCUCCACCGACAAGUUCAUGCUCGACAACUGCCUACGCCAGCCGUCGCUCCCUGUUAUCAACCAGGAUAUCCCUGGGCAGGAAGGAGUCACCUUCGUUGUCUUCCGUGACAAUGUUGUCGGAGCCUCUGAUCAAAAACUCUGGCCAAUCAUUCAACACUCUAAGUUCCAUAAUCUCCUGGGAGCCUGUGAUGGCUUUCUCAUCUUGUCCGAUGGAUCCCAUUUCUGGAUCUGCAAUCCGGCCACUCGCAGAUGUGCUCCGCUACCACAACCUCGAGUUCCAUCGUCAUAGCCAGGGGGGUCCUGCAUCUACAUAGCUGGCUUUUACCGGCAUCAUCCAUCUGGGGAAUACCAGGUGCUCUGGUUCUCGCAUGGCUGCGAACGUGGCUACAUUCUCUCGGUAGGAUCUGACAAGCCGAGAAUGAUCAGACGGCUGUCAGUGUCAUGGCGUUUACCAAAAUAUAGGCGCGAAGGGGCUUUUGAUUCCUGCUAUAGUUCACAAGUCAACCACCGCGGCAGCCUGCACUGGUUAACAGGAAUCUACACGGAGACUGCCGUGGACAUUAUGGUGUUUGACACAGUAACUGAGACGUUCUGGUGGAUGCGCAGUCCUGACCAGUUGGGCCAACGGUUGUCGUUGUUAGAGAUGGAUGGCAAGCUUGCUUCAUGCAGCAAAAAUGAUGCCUACAUAGAGAUUUGGGUGAUGCAAGACUAUAAGGCUGAGGCCUGGGCCUUGAAGUACCGGAUUAACUUGUUAGCGAUGAAGACAUCACCACUAUUCGACUAUAUUUCUAAGAUGGCACUGCUUAACCAGCGUGAGCUGCUGAUCUGUUGUCACAAUCCAUUGGACAGUCCUGACUAUCUUUUGCACUGUGACAUUGACGGAAAGUUUUUGGGAUAUUACGAAAUUAAAGGGGGAACGUAUUCAGUAUACUUCACUAAUCAGUACUUUCAGGAGAGCAUGAUUCCACUUCCGUAUGGUGAGGUGCAAGAAGAAGGUGGUUUGGAUGAGGAGCCUUCAUUCUUCAUAGGGCUUUAAAGUGGUUUGUAUUGUACUUCUAGUUUGCCAUGUAUGCCUUUGGAUUGUCCAUCCUUUAUGAGCAUAUGGUUCUAGUUCUUGCUUUAUAAUACCAGUAGAACUGAACAAUUUAUAUGGCUGUGCUCGCACUUUUACUACCAUCUGGUGCCUUUUGUUGGAGUAUCUAUGCUAUACAUCUGUGCUACUUCUUCCCCGUUUACUUUCAUUUCUCAUUGUUAAGUAGUGUGAAUGGCACUGGCUGCAAUUUAAAAUGCUAAUUAUUUGUGCUACUAGAGAAUUAGUGAAGCAUUGGCAGGCCAUCUAGAAAUAUGAGAGAUGCAGUCUUAUUCAAUAUCUUUUAGUGGAUACUUUUGUAAGACAGUGUGAGAGAUAUGCCCUCUACCAAUAGGAGUUAGUCGUGGGACUUUUGGUCGUUGGAAUGGUUAGUUUGGAUCUUUGCUCAGGUUAGUAGUUUGAUAUUCACUGCUCUGUAUGCAAUUUGAGUUUACUCUGAAGUAAAAUUUCUUGUGGUACCAACUUCGUCCUGCUCUUUGUUGUGUGGAGAUGUUUUCUUAUCAGGGCUACUUGGGUAGUCGUGCAGUUUGGUUCUUAGCACAGUUCUGUUUCUUCAGUAUGCUAUUGUUAUUUUUUUGGUACAGUGAUCUGGUUCUUAUGCUUGAGUUGGAUUCGGCUUCUUUCUUAGUAGCAGAGCUUUGCUCCCUUCUGUUUUCUUCUGAAAAUUUGAACCUGUCAGCUAUAGAUUUUUAAAUCACAGUUUUGUGGAGAACAUACACCUUUUACCACAUUUCAGAUGGCCGCUCCUCGUCUCAUUUCUUGUAUGAAGUGCCGGUUGCAUUGAUGAUCGACCUACGUGAUGUGAUCAGCAACAUUAUGACAAAAGGGAUUGUCUCAUUGGUGUGAUCCCUGUGAACUGGUUUCCUUAAAUUCUUGCCUCUACACCGCAAUCAUGUUGACGUCCUUCAGGUUUUCGUAUAUAUAUUUAUAUUGUAUUAUUAUGUCAGGCAUGUCCAGUUUUUCUUGAAUGAGUAUUUUUGUUGUUUUCUCGUUGAGAUGGACGGGCAGAGUAGCAUCCAUAUACGACACUGUGACAGUGCGUAUGGUCUGCACGCCGCCCCCAUCUAUUCUCACAUAUUAACAUUUAUUAUUAUUAUGCAAAAAAGCCUUAUAGAAGAGACCGCAUCAGCACGUCGAUUAAUUGUCUCCUUUUGCAUCUGAAAAGUAAUAACGAAAUCGGAAAGAACAAAUUUGUAGGUACAAUCCACAUUUGCCAUCAAGUGCUCAUGAAUCGCUUUUAUCCACACUAGGUGAGUAAGAGCUUUUAUCCACUUUGUGCAUGAAGUUUCUACUGACCUAGAGGUGCAGAUAAUGCCUCCGGAGGAGGAGGACUGCUCGGCGAGUCACUGGUGUGUGACGACGGGGACGUUGGCCAUGGCCGUCGCAGCCCGUGUCGUUUUUGGCUUUCUGGGUGCCUGGGUCAGGUCACAAUAGUGUAGCAGGGCGGGGGAGAAGAGGCGGCAGCACUGGUGCUACGGGGAUUGUUUGCCGGUGGUGAGAAGCUGGACCGGCUCGCGAGCAUGGUGCUGUCGGCGCGUUCCAUGAAGCUACAUGUGAGGCUGAAGAACAAGCUUCUGCAACACGAAAAGCCUUCAAAACUGGGGCCAGGGAAAUGCUCCCUUACCACUAAGGUGUUCUCUGAUGCCUCUUGGAAGAACUCCAAAUUCCUGGAAGGAAAGGAACCAUUGCAAAAGGUUUAGGCGUGUAUUUCCAAUUCUCCGAGGGACAAAGUAACAUCACAGGGAUGGUUCAAGCUUAUAUAAGCACCGGCAUCGCCUCCUCUCCUCUUCAAGCAGAAGCUCUUGUCUUGCUACUCGCUGCAAAUAGUGCAGAUUUUCUGCUGUUACAAUAGCCAACCUUCUUAACAGAUAACAUGUCCCUGCAAGGGCUGCAACGGCCAGGGAACUCAAGAUUCACUUGUUGGUAAAUCAUGAGUUCUAAAAUAAAAUUACAAGCAUCA